AGGGAUGAAGGCCUUCGGGUUGUAAACCUCUUUUAGCAGGGAAGAAGCGAAAGUGACGGUACCUGCAGAAAAAGCACCGGCUAACUACGUGCCAGCAGCCGCGGUAAUACGUAGGGUGCAAGCGUUGUCCGGAAUUAUUGGGCGUAAAGAGCUCGUAGGCGGUUUGUCGCGUCUGCUGUGAAAAUCCAAGGCUCAACCUUGGACCUGCAGUGGGUACGGGCAGACUAGAGUGCGGUAGGGGAGAUGGGAAUUCCUGGUGUAGCGGUGGAAUGCGCAGAUAUCGGGAGGAACACCAAUAUGGCGAAGGCACUGUACUGGGCUUUACCUGACGCUCAGAGACGAAAGCUAAAGGAGUGAUUAGGAUUAGAUACCCUAGUAAUUUUAGCCGUAAACGAUGAAAACUCACUGCCGAGCGAAAUACAACGAGCGGUGGUCAAGCUAACGCGUGAAGUUUUCCGCCUGGGGAUUACGCUUGCAAAAGUG
rnacentral:rRNA from 1 species